rnacentral:lncRNA from 1 species
AGUGGGGAAAACAGCGUUCGGGGGGGCAGCUUUUUAUGCUGAUUUUCUGUAGGCAUGUGGGUCUUGGGUUCAGGAGUCACCUCUCUUUGCUUCCUCGGAGGUCUCCAGAGCAGUCUUUCUCCAGGGAUGUCCAAGGACCAUGCGAAAUGAUCCAUGAAGUACCGCCAGGCACACAAGUGAGGAAACAACCAAGCGAAGGGAAUUAUGUGAUUGCUGCUGUGUUGCUACAACAAGACCACAACAACACAAGCGAAGUGGAGAGAGUAAAGAAAAUCCAGGCAGUUGCCAGAACGAAUCUGUUCAAACCCUGUUGCUGUAGCUUCUUAGAUGCACAGUCUGCUCUUCUGAAUAUCUACUACCAGAAAAGUAAUGACCCUGGGAGUGAUGGAAAACAAAUCUGA